GGUGAACGCUGGCGAUGUGCCUAAGACAUGCAAGUCGAGGGGCAGCACGGGGUAGCAAUACUCUGGUGGCGACCGGCGCACGGGUGAGUAACGCGUAUGCAACCUGCCUUGUACUGGGGGAUAGCCCGGAGAAACUCGGAUUAAUACCCCAUAACGAUAUAGUAUGGCAUCAUUUUAUAUUUAAAGAUUCAUCGGUACAGGAUGGGAAUGCGUAACAUUAGCUAGUUGGUAGGGUAACGGCCGACCAAGGCAACGAUGUUUAGGGGUCCUGAGAGGGUGAUCCCCCACACUGGUACUGAGACACGGACCAGACUCCUACGGGAGGCAGCAGUGAGGAAUAUUGGUCAAUGGGCGCAAGCCUGAACCAGCCAUCCCGCGUGCAGGAAGACGGCGCUAUGCGUUGUAAACUGCUUUUCCAGGGGAAGAAAACUUCCGUCGUGACGGGACUUGCCGGUACCCUGGGAAUAAGCAUCGGCUAACUCCGUGCCAGCAGCCGCAGUAA
rnacentral:rRNA from 1 species